rnacentral:rRNA from 1 species
GGCUCAGGACGAACGCUGGCGGUGUGCUUAAUACAUGCAAGUCGAACGAUAAGGCCCUUCGGGGUACAUAAGUGGCGGACGGGUGAGUAAUGCAUAGGUAAUCUGGCUCUAGGCGGGGGAUAACGUUGGGAAACUGACGCUAAUACCCUAUAUGUCACAGAUUGAAAUAUUUGUGAUAAAAGCUCCGGCGCCGAGAGAUGAGCCUGUGUCUGAUUAGCUAGUUGGUGGAGUAAAGGCCUACCAAGGCGAUGAUCAGUAGCUGGUCUGAGAGGAUGAUCAGCCACAAUGGGACUGAGACACGGCCCAUACUCCUACGGGAGGCAGCAGUAGGGAAUUUUGCGCAAUGGGCGAAAGCCUGACGCAGCAACACCGCGUGAGUGAUGAAGCAUCUUGGUGCGUAAAACUCUGUCAGUGGGGAAGAAUAAAUGACUGUACCCACAAAGGAAGCAUCGGCUAACUACGUGCCAGCAGCCGCGGUAAGACGUAGGAUGCAAGCGUUGUCCGGAAUUAUUGGGCGUAAAGAGUUCGUAGGCGGCAAAAUAAGUCUGGUGUUAAAUCUCGGAGCUCAACUCCGAACAGGCACUGGAUACUAUUUAGCUAGAGUACAGAAGAGGCAAGGGGAAUUCCUAGUGUAGCGGUGAAAUGCGUAGAUAUUAGGAGGAACACCAGUGGCGUAAGCGCCUUGCUGGGCUGUUACUGACGCCGAGGAACGAAAGCCAGGGGAGCAAAUGGGAUUAGAUACCCCAGUAGUCCUGGCUGUAAACGAUGGAUACUAGGUGUUGCGGGUAUCGACCCCUGCAGUGCCGUAGCAAACGCGUUAAGUAUCCCGCCUGGGGAGUACGCACGCAAGUGUGAAACUCA